GAAGUGUGGACGCCAGUCUGCAUGGAGCCGACCUUGAAAUACCACCCUUUAAUGUUUGAUGUUCUAACGUUGACCCGUGAUCCGGGUUGCGGACAGUGUCUGGUGGGUAGUUUGACUGGGGCGGUCUCCUCCUAAAGAGUAACGGAGGAGCACGAAGGUUGGCUAAUCCUGGUCGGACAUCAGGAGGUUAGUGCAAUGGCAUAAGCCAGCUUGACUGCGAGCGUGACGGCGCGAGCAGGUGCGAAAGCAGGUCAUAGUGAUCCGGUGGUUCUGAAUGGAAGGGCCAUCGCUCAACGGAUAAAAGGUACUCCGGGGAUAACAGGCUGAUACCGCCCAAGAGUUCAUAUCGACGGCGGUGUUUGGCACCUCGAUGUCGGCUCAUCACAUCCUGGGGCUGAAGUAGGUCCCAAGGGUAUGGCUGUUCGCCAUUUAAAGUGGUACGCGAGCUGGGUUUAGAACGUCGUGAGACAGUUCGGUCCCUAUCUGCCGUGGGCGCUGGAGAACUGAGGGGGGCUGCUCCUAGUACGAGAGGACCGGAGUGGACGCAUCACUGGUGUUCGGGUUGUCAUGCCAAUGGCACUGCCCGGUAGCUAAAUGCGGAAGAGAUAAGUGCUGAAAGCAUCUAAGCACGAAACUUGCC
rnacentral:rRNA from 1 species